rnacentral:rRNA from 1 species
CGGGCGCGGCGUCGGUCUAAGUCUCUUGGAACGGGGCGUCAUAGAGGGUGAGAAUCCCGUAUGUGACCGAUGACCAAGCCCAUGUGAAACCCCUUCGACGAGUCGAGUUGUUUGGGAAUGCAGCUCAAAAUGGGUGGUAAAUUUCAUCUAAAGCUAAAUAUUGGCCAGAGACCGAUAGCGCACAAGUAGAGUGAUCGAAAGAUGAAAAGCACUUUGGAAAGAGAGUCAAAAAGUACGUGAAAUUGUUGAAAGGGAAGCGCUUGCAACCAGACCUGCCCACGGGCGAUCAGCCGUCCUUCUGGGCGGUGUACUCGCCCGUGAUCAGGCCAGCAUCGGUUCGGGCGGCCGGAUAAAGGCCUUGGGAAUGUAGCUUCCUUCGGGGAGUGUUAUAGCCCUCGGUGUCAUGCGGCCAGCCCGGACCGAGGACCGCGCUUCGGCUAGGAUGCUGGCGUAAUGGUUGUAAGCGGCCCGUCUUGAAACACGGACCAAGGAGUCUAACAUUUAUGCGAGUGUUUGGGUGUCAAACCCAUACGCGCAAUGAAAGUGAACGGAGGUGGGAACCCGUUAGGGCGCACCAUCGACCGAUCCAGAUGUCUUCGGAUGGAUUUGAGUACGAGCAUAACUGUUGGGACCCGAAAGAUGGUGAACUAUGCCUGAAUAGGGUGAAGCCAGAGGAAACUCUGGUGGAGGCUCGCAGCGGUUCUGACGUGCAAAUCGAUCGUCAAAUUUGGGUAUAGGGGCGAAAGACUAAUCGAACCAUC